ACGUGCGGUCGGCGGUCCGGGCUGCUCUUCCACUCGGCGGGCAACGUCCUUGGAUUCCUGGUGUCCGGCGCGCGGUGGUACGGGAUGUCCCUCUAUGCCCUGGAUGACGUCCUCAGCUUGGCGGGCGAUGUCGUCCGGUCCCUCUCGGCGUUCUGCAGGGUGCGGCGCGACUCCAGUCUUGACAUUCUCGGAUGAGGGUCCAGUCAACGGCGGGAGCGGGUGCAUGGUUAUUGGUUAGCCGCUGGUUUUUCAUCCGAGCAACGGUGCGAGAAAUGGGAGUUCCUGUUUCUGAGACGUCAUCGACUGAGUGCUCUUCUGAUG